CAAGUACUCUCUCCGUCCGGAAAUACUUAUCAUCAAACUGGUAAAAAUGAUGUAUCUAUAUGUAUUUUAGUUCUACAUACAUUUCUUUUUAUCCAUUUUGAUGACAAGUAUUUUCGGACGGAGGGAGUACAAG
rfam:Triticum aestivum genome assembly, contig: Triticum_aestivum_CS42_TGACv1_scaffold_222095_3B